rnacentral:lncRNA from 1 species
AUUUGGCUGUGUUAGUAUGUGGUAAACAGAAUUAAAUUUUUUUAUGUGAACUCGUACAUAUGUGCUUCAUAAUAUGUCACUCCUAUUUAACAUCUCUUUCACACACACACAUCCCCCCACCUCCGCACACACCCUUUUGCUAGUCUUCUUCCAUUUUGCUUAUUAACCCAAAGAAAGAAAAAAAUACAGAAGCCUUCUUGCAUAGGUUGCUUUAAUCAGAUGAAUUAUUGAAGCCACUCUGUCUAAAUAUUAUUUUCCCUUAUUUUUCUUUCAUUAGUUUUUCAUUCAGUUGUAUUUAUUUAAUUUUUAUUUCAUUUUCCAGACCUAAGUCAGUGUUAGUCUACCACUGUACAUCUGGUAACCUCAAUCCCUGCAACCGGGGCAAAAUGGGUUUCCAGGUCUUGGCAACCUUUGAAAUUCCAAUUCCAUUUGAGAGAGCUUUGACGAGGCCAUAUGCUGAUUUCACCACCAGCAACUUCAGAACCCAGUACUGGAAUGCCAUCAGCCAGCAGGCCCCUGCCAUCAUCUAUGACUUCUAUCUGUGGCUCACUGGAAGGAAACCCAGUUUUUCUCAAAAUCUGAGGAGCUGCUACGGAAAGCACACCAGAUCUCAUGUGUUGAAACGUGAACAUGCUCACCACAGACCAAGGACGUUCAACCUGUCAAUCCCCAGGAUUUCCAAGCCAGGGGUUUCAUCUCUUACUUGUGGAAAAUUUGUUCAUUUGAUUAUGAACCAAUCAGCUUUUCAUUGUGUCAAAAUCAAA